rnacentral:misc_RNA from 1 species
AACGGUCUAUACCUGCGGUACCUGCGGAGGGAUCAUUAAUGAGAAACUGCCCCUCGCGGGUAGAUCUCCCACCCUUUGUAAACUUACCUUUGUUGCUUUGGCAGGCCCGUCUCCGGACCGCCGGCUUCGGCUGGCCAGUGCCUGCCAGAGGAUUCUAAAACUCUGUCUGUCAGUGUUGUCUGAGUCUAUUUACAAUCGUUAAAACUUUUAACAAUGGAUCUCUAGAUCGGAAGAGCACAC